AUUGAACGCUAGCGGGAUGCCUUACACAUGCAAGUCGAACGGCAGCACGGACUUCGGUCUGGUGGCGAGUGGCGAACGGGUGAGUAAUGUAUCGGAACGUGCCCAGUAGCGGGGGAUAACUACGCGAAAGCGUAGCUAAUACCGCAUACGCCCUACGGGGGAAAGCAGGGGAUCGCAAGACCUUGCACUAUUGGAGCGGCCGAUAUCGGAUUAGCUAGUUGGUGGGGUAACGGCUCACCAAGGCGACGAUCCGUAGCUGGUUUGAGAGGACGACCAGCCACACUGGGACUGAGACACGGCCCAGACUCCUACGGGAGGCAGCAGUGGGGAAUUUUGGACAAUGGGGGAAACCCUGAUCCAGCCAUCCCGCGUGUGCGAUGAAGGCCUUCGGGUUGUAAAGCACUUUUGGCAGGAAAGAAACGUCAUGGGUUAAUACCCCGUGAAACUGACGGUACCUGCAGAAUAAGCACCGGCUAACUACGUGC
rnacentral:rRNA from 2 species